AAUCCAUAGGUUAAUGAGGCGAACCGGGGGAACUGAAACAUCUAAGUACCCCGAGGAAAAGAAAUCAACCGAGAUUCCCCCAGUAGCGGCGAGCGAACGGGGAGGAGCCCAGAGCCUGAAUCAGCAUGUGUGUUAGUGGAAGCGUCUGGAAAGGCGCGCGAUACAGGGUGACAGCCCCGUACACAAAAGCGCAUGUGCUGUGAGCUCGAUGAGUAGGGCGGGACACGUGGUAUCCUGUCUGAAUAUGGGGGGACCAUCCUCCAAGGCUAAAUACUCCUGACUGACCGAUAGUGAACCAGUACCGUGAGGGAAAGGCGAAAAGAACCCCGGCGAGGGGAGUGAAAAAGAACCUGAAACCGUGUACGUACAAGCAGUGGGAGCCCCACCACCAAAGCAUUUGCUGUACCGCGUUGACGGAGCGAAGCGACGUCAAACCGAUAAAACAGCAGUGUAAAGUGAGCCGCAGGGCGCUUUGCGCGACAGCGCAAAGGCAGGCGGUUUCGCGUAGCGAAAGCGAAU
rnacentral:rRNA from 1 species